rnacentral:rRNA from 1 species
CCUACGGGUGGCAGCAGUGAGGAAUAUUGGUCAAUGGACGAGAGUCUGAACCAGCCAAGUAGCGUGAAGGAUGACUGCCCUAUGGGUUGUAAACUUCUUUUAUAAAGGAAUAAAGGUAUCCACGUGUGGAUCUUUGCAUGUACCCUAUGAAUAAGCAUCGGCUAACUCCGUGCCCGCAGCCGAGGUAAUACGGGGGAUGCAAGCGUUAUCCGGAUUUAUUGGGUUUAAAGGGUGCGUAGGCUGUGAGGUAAGUCAGCGGUGAAAUGCCCCCGCUCAACGGGGUGAAGUGCCAUUGAUACUGCCUGGCUGGAAUGCGGAUGCCGUGGGAGGAAUGUGUGGUGUAGCGGUGAAAUGCAUAGAUAUCACACAGAACACCGAUUGCGAAGGCAUCUCACGAAGCCGCGAUUGACGCUGAUGCACGAAAGCGUGGGUAUCAAACAGGAUUAGAUACCCCAGUAGUC